rnacentral:rRNA from 1 species
GAACCUGCGGAAGGAUCAUUACCGAGUUAGGGUCUUAUAGGCCCGACCUCCAACCCUUUGUUUACUAUACCAUGUUGCUUUGGUGGGCCCGCCUUUCGGGGCCGCCGGGGGCUUUCACGCCCCUGGUCAGUGCCCGCCAGUAGCCUUAUUAAAUUCUUUCAUAAUUAUGUUGUCUGAGUCUAAAUAUAAAUCGUUAAAACUUUCAACAACGGAUCUCUUGGUUCUGGCAUCGAUGAAGAACGCAGCGAAAUGCGAUAAGUAAUGCGAAUUGCAGAAUUCAGUGAGUCAUCGAAUCUUUGAACGCAUAUUGCGCCCUUUGGUAUUCCGAAGGGCAUGCCUGUUCGAGCGUCAUUAUCAACCAUCAAGCCUAGCUUGUCGUUGGACCCUUUGCAGCUGAAAUAUGCGGCAGGUCCGAAAGAUAAUGACGGCGUCGUGUUUGACCCUAGAUGCAACGAGCUUUUUAUAGCACGCAUUGAAGUGGUCGGCCGACCCGGUCUUUAACCAUCAUUUUUCUAAGGUUGACCUCGGAUCAGGUAGGAAUACCCGCUGAACUUAAGCAUAUCAAUAAGCGGAGG